GAUGAACGCUAGCGGCAGGCCUAAUACAUGCAAGUCGAACGAUAUUUUCCAGCUUGCUGGGAGAGAAAGUGGCGCACGGGUGCGUAACGCGUAUGCAACCUACCUUUAUCAGGGGGAUAGCCCGGAGAAAUCCGGAUUAAUACCGCAUAAAAUUACAGAACGGCAUUGUUCAAUGAUCAAACAUUUAUGGGAUAAAGAUGGGCAUGCGUGUCAUUAGCUAGUUGGCGGGGUAACGGCCCACCAAGGCGACGAUGACUAGGGGAUCUGAGAGGAUGGCCCCCCACACUGGUACUGGGACACGGACCAGACUCCUACGGGAGGCAGCAGUAAGGAAAAUUGGUCAAUGGAGGCAACUCUGAACCAGCCAUGCCGCGUGCAGGAAGACUGCCCUAUGGGUUGUAAACUGCUUUUAUCCGGGAAUAAACCUCCGAUCGUGAUCGGAGCUGAAUGUACCGGAAGAAUAAGGAUCGGCUAACUCCGUGCCAGCAGCCGCCGUAA
rnacentral:rRNA from 1 species